CAUGUUCUUUUGUUUAUAAUUUAAGAUUUGACCUGCCCACUGAUUAAAUUGAAUGGCCGCGGUAUUUUGACCGUGCAAAGGUAGCAUAAUAAUUAGUUUUUUAAUUGAAAGCUGGAAUGAAUGGUUGGACGAGAAAAUUUCUGUCUCUGAUUAAUUUUAUUAGAAUUUAAUUUUUAAGUAAGAAAGCUUAAUUGUUUUUAAAAGACGAGAAGACCCUAUAGAGUUUUAUAUAAAUAUUUAAAUAUUUUAUUUAGAAUCCAAUUAUUAUUUAUUUAUUUAUAUUUUAUUGGGGUGAUAGAAGGAUAAAAAUAACUCCUUUUUUAUUAAAACAUUAAUAUAUGAUUUUUUGAUCCAAUUAUUUUGAUUAUAAGAUUAAAUUACCUUAGGGAUAACAGCGUUAUCUUUUUAGAGAGUUCUUAUCGAAAUAAAGGAUUGCGACCUCGAUGUUGGAUUAAAAUUAAUUUUUGGUGCAGAAGCUAAAAUAUUAAGUCUGUUCGACUUUUAAAAUUUUACAUGAUCUGAGU
rnacentral:rRNA from 1 species